rnacentral:rRNA from 1 species
GAUGAACGCUGGCGGCGUGCUUAACACAUGCAAGUCGAACGGAAAGGCCCAAGUUUGCUUGGGUGCUCGAGUGGCGAACGGGUGAGUAACACGUGGGUGAUCUGCCCUGCACUUUGGGAUAAGCCUGGGAAACUGGGUCUAAUACCGGAUAGGACCAUCGUUUAGUGUCGGUGGUGGAAAGUUUUUCGGUGUGGGAUGAGCUCGCGGCCUAUCAGCUUGUUGGUGGGGUAAUGGCCUACCAAGGCGUCGACGGGUAGCCGGCCUGAGAGGGUGUACGGCCACAUUGGGACUGAGAUACGGCCCAGACUCCUACGGGAGGCAGCAGUGGGGAAUAUUGCACAAUGGGCGCAAGCCUGAUGCAGCGACGCCGCGUGGGGGAUGACGGCCUUCGGGUUGUAAACUCCUUUCGCCAAGGACGAAGCGUUUUGUGACGGUACUUGGAGAAGAAGCACCGGCUAACUACGUG